GAUGAACGCUGGCGGCGUGCUUAAUACAUGCAAGUCGAACGAAGAGCCUUUGUAGCAAUACGAGGGUUUCUUAGUGGCGAACGGGUGCGUAACGCGUUGGUGACCUGCCCCGAAGUGUGGGAUAACAGUUCGAAAGGACUGCUAAUACCGCAUGUGGACACGAGGGUUAGAGGCUUUGUGUCUAAAGCAGUAAUGCGCUUUGGGAGGGACCUGCGUCCCAUCAGCUAGUUGGUGAGGUAAUGGCUCACCAAGGCUACGACGGGUAGGGGACCUGAGAGGGUGGUCCCCCACACUGGCACUGAAACACGGGCCAGACACCUACGGGUGGCAGCAGUAGGGAAUAUUGGGCAAUGGGCGAAAGCCUGACCCAGCAACGCCGCGUGCACGAUGAAGGUCUUCGGAUCGUAAAGUGCUUUUCUGAGAGAUGAGAAAGGACAGUAUCUCAGGAAUAAGUCUCGGCUAACUACGUGCCAGCAGCCGCCGUAAUAC
rnacentral:rRNA from 1 species